rnacentral:rRNA from 1 species
GCUAGCGUUGCUCGGAAUCACUGGGCGUAAAGCGCACGUAGGCGGAUUGUUAAGUCAGGGGUGAAAUCCUGGAGCUCAACUCCAGAACUGCCUUUGAUACUGGCGAUCUUGAGUCCGGGAGAGGUGAGUGGAACUGCGAGUGUAGAGGUGAAAUUCGUAGAUAUUCGCAAGAACACCAGUGGCGAAGGCGGCUCACUGGCCCGGUACUGACGCUGAGGUGCGGAAGCGUGGGGAGCAAACAGG